rnacentral:rRNA from 1 species
GAUGAACGCUAGCUACAGGCUUAACACAUGCAAGUCGAGGGGCAGCAUGACCUAGCAAUAGGUUGAUGGCGACCGGCGCACGGGUGAGUAACACGUAUCCAACCUACCGGUUAUUCCGGGAUAGCCUUUCGAAAGAAAGAUUAAUACCGGAUAGUAUAACGAGAAGGCAUCUUCUUGUUAUUAAAGAAUUUCGAUAACCGAUGGGGAUGCGUUCCAUUAGUUUGUUGGCGGGGUAACGGCCCACCAAGACAUCGAUGGAUAGGGGUUCUGAGAGGAAGGUCCCCCACAUUGGAACUGAGACACGGUCCAAACUCCUACGGGAGGCAGCAGUGAGGAAUAUUGGUCAAUGGACGAGAGUCUGAACCAGCCAAGUAGCGUGAAGGAUGACUGCCCUAUGGGUUGUAAACUUCUUUUAUAUGGGAAUAAAGUGAGCCACGUGUGGCUUUUUGUAUGUACCAUACGAAUAAGGAUC